rnacentral:rRNA from 1 species
UACGAAGGGGGCUAGCGUUGCUCGGACUUACUGGGCGUCAAGGGCGCGUAGGCGGCCCUGUUAGUCAGGCGUGAAAGUCCUGGGCUCAACCUGGGAACUGCGCUUGAUACGGCAGAGCUAGAGGAUGGAAGAGGCUCGCGGAAUUCCCAGUGUAGAGGUGAAAUUCGUAGAUAUUGGGAAGAACACCGGUGGCGAAGGCGGCGAGCUGGUCCAUUACUGACGCUGAGGCGCGACAGCGUGGGGAGCAAACAGG